rnacentral:rRNA from 1 species
GACGGAGGAUGCAAGCGUUAUCCGGAAUGAUUGGGCGUAAAGCGUCUGCAGGUGGCAGUUCAAGUCUGCUGUCAAAGACCGGGGCUUAACUUCGGAAAGGCAGUGGAAACUGAACAGCUAGAGUAUGGUAGGGGCAGAGGGAAUUCCUGGUGUAGCGGUGAAAUGCGUAGAGAUCAGGAAGAACAUCGGUGGCGAAGGCGCUCUGCUGGACCAUAACUGACACUCAGGGACGAAAGCUAGGGUAGCGAAUGGG